UGCCCCAUAGUCUGGGAUACCACUUGGAAACAGGUGCUAAUACCGGAUAAGAAAGCGGAUCGCAUGAUCAGCUUUUAAAAGGCGGCGUAAGCUGUCGCUAUGGGAUGGCCCCGCGGUGCAUUAGCUAGUUGGUAAGGUAAAGGCUUACCAAGGCGAUGAUGCAUAGCCGAGUUGAGAGACUGAUCGGCCACAUUGGGACUGAGACACGGCCCAAACUCCUAGGGAGGCAGCAGUA
rnacentral:rRNA from 1 species